GACGAACCGUGCGAACGUUGUUCGGAAUCACUGGGCUUAAAGGGCGCGUAGGCGGGCCGCAAAGUCAGGGGUGAAAGCCUCCAGCUCAACUGGAGAAGUGCCUCUGAUACUGGCGGCCUCGAGGGAGAUAGGGGCGUGCGGAACUUCCGGUGGAGCGGUGAAAUGCGUAGAUAUCGGAAGGAACACCAGUGGCGAAGGCGGCUUUCUGGCCUGUUCUUGACGCUGAGGCGGCGAAAGCUAGGGGAGCAAACGGG
rnacentral:rRNA from 1 species